GGGGAAUAUUGGGCAAUGGGCGCAAGCCUGACCCAGCAACGCCGCGUGAAGGAAGAAGGCUUUCGGGUUGUAAACUUCUUUUGUCAGGGACGAAAAAAAUGACGGUACCUGACGAAUAAGCCACGGCUAACUACGUGCCAGCAGCCGCGGUAAUACGUAGGUGGCAAGCGUUAUCCGGAUUUACUGGGUGUAAAGGGCGUGUAGGCGGGAAAGCAAGUCAGAUGUGAAAACUAUGGGCUCAACCCAUAGCCUGCUUUCGAUACGGGCAGACUUGAGGGAUGUAGGGGAGAACGGAAUUCCUGGUGGAGCGGUGGAAUGCGCAGAUAUCAGGAGGAACACCAGUGGCGAAGGCGGUUCUCUGGACAUUUCCUGACGCUGAGAAGCGAAAGCGUGGGGAGCAAACA
rnacentral:rRNA from 1 species